rnacentral:rRNA from 1 species
UUUUGUAUAAUGGGUCAGCGACUUAUAUUCUGUAGCAAGGUUAACCGUAUAGGGGAGCCGGAGGGAAACCGAGUCUUAACCGGGCGUUAAGUUGCAGGGUAUAGACCCGAAACCCGGUGAUCUAGCCAUGGGCAGGUUGAAGGUUGGGUAACACUAACUGGAGGACCGAACCGACUAAUGUUGAAAAAUUAGCGGAUGACCUGUGGCUGGGGGUGAAAGGCCAAUCAAACCGGGAGAUAGCUGGUUCUCCCCGAAAGCUAUUUAGGUAGCGCCUCGUGAAUUCAUCUCCGGGGGUAGAGCACUGUUUCGGCUAGGGGGCCAUCCCGGCUUACCAACCCGAUGCAAACUGCGAAUACCGGAGAAUGUUAUCACGGGAGACACACGGCGGGUGCUAACGUCCGUCGUGAAGAGGGAAACAACCCAGACCGCCAGCUAAGGUCCCAAAGUCAUGGUUAAGUGGGAAACGAUGUGGGAAGGCCCAGACAGCCAGGAUGUUGGCUUAGAAGCAGCCAUCAUUUAAAGAAAGCGUAAUAGCUCACUGGUCGAGUCGGCCUGCGCGGAAGAUGUAACGGGGCUAAACCAUG